rnacentral:siRNA from 1 species
UUUGAAUAGUUUAUGGAUUUUGC